ensembl:vault_RNA Vault Vault RNA
GCGCUAGUUUAGCUCAGCGGCUACAUCAAACCAGUGAACUCAUCAGCCCCUGCCUUCCGGUUGGGGCAGAUCGAACCGCGGGCGCUGUCUAGCGUUUUA